CCUGAAUUAAGUUCUAAAACUGAUGUACUUGAUAUUGGAAAUGACUAUUCAAAACUAAACUGCAGGAUAUCAGCUGCUCAUGGCUUAGCCCUCACCCUGUGUCUGCUCCACUCUGGAUCUCUGCUCACACUGUCAGCAGCUACCCCAGAGAGCUAUUUAGAAACUGCAGUGUCUGGACAUUGAAGCAGCUCCACACCCAGUGUAUUCCCUUCAGAAAAUACCACUUAGGCUUGCAUUUUCAGGAAUCAUGCCGGUUUCUUAUUGAUUUGUAGGUGAAGUUCAUGGCAGGAGAUAGUUCCUAUCCUCAUGACAGUUGUAGCACAUGGUGCUGGAGGGAAUAGUGGGUCAGAGUGUGGUUCUUUACCCACAACAUGCUGCCUCCAUAGCACACUGUCUUCUGGGGAAUGUCUUCUGAAUGAGUGAAGAAGUGGGUUUAUAUUCUUUGGUUUCCAAUUUGGGAUACACAAAGGAGUAAAAAUUCUUCAAUAUUU